rnacentral:rRNA from 1 species
AGAGUUUGAUCCUGGCUCAGAAUGAACGCUGGCGGCGUGCCUAACACAUGCAAGUCGUACGAGAAAUCUCGGGCUUGCUCGAGUGAGUAAAGUGGCGCACGGGUGAGUAACACGUAGGUAAUCUACCUCCGGGUCAGGGAUAACCCGCCGAAAGGCGGGCUAAUACCUGGUAAUACCCUGUCUGCGGGAGCAGGCGGGAUCAAAGGUGGCCUCUGCAUGCAAGCUACUGCUUGGAGAUGAGCCUGCGGACCAUUAGCUAGUUGGUAGGGUAAUGGCCUACCAAGGCGACGAUGGUUAGCUGGUCUGAGAGGACGGCCAGCCACACUGGAACUGGAACACGGUCCAGACUCCUACGGGAGGCAGCAGUAGGGAAUAUUGGACAAUGGGGGCAACCCUGAUCCAGCAAUGCCGCGUGAGUGAUGAAGGCCUUAGGGUUGUAAAGCUCUUUUACCCGGGAUGAUAAUGACAGUACCGGGAGAAUAAGCUCCGGCUAACUCCGUGCCAGCAGCCGCGGUAAUACGGAGGGAGCUAGCGUUGUUCGGAAUUACUGGGCGUAAAGGGCGCGUAGGCGGUCAGGUAAGUCAGGUGUGAAAGCCCUCGGCUCAACCGAGGAAGUGCAUCUGAAACUAUCUGACUUGAGUACGGGAGAGGAAAGUGGAAUUCCCGGUGUAGAGGUGAAAUUCGUAGAUAUCGGGAGGAACACCCAUGGCGAAGGCGGCUUUCUGGACCGAUACUGACGCUGAGGCGCGAAAGCGUGGGGAGCAAACAGGAUUAGAUACCCUGGUAGUCC